CCCUCCUCCUCCUCCUCCCCCCUCUCCUCCUAAAAUCCUGUCCGGUGCGAUGGAGCCACAGCAGCAGCAGCACCAGCGCCAUCAGCAGCGCACUCAUGGACAUGGUCAGCAGCACCCCCUGCAGGACACCCGAGGACUUAUUGGAUCAGAGCACUGACGGGUGUGGACGGACAGACGGACCAGGCAGCUCUCGGUUCCCAGGAGGUUGGAGGCAGAGCAGCGAUACUGGCCCGAGGUCUGAGAGGAAACGUUGGCAAUUUGGACAGAGGCUGACAGAAGGUCCCCUGAGAGACAGAGACAGAAGAGACAGUGACGGUGACGAGACUGAGGACACGAGAGAAGAAGAAGAAGAAAAAAAAACAUUCCAGAGGUGAAAGUGGGACUUCCUCAGGACUGACUUUCUCCCAGUGGAUCUCUGGUGUUGGGACGCCCUCCAUCACCGAGCAGGACAGCGUGACUUGUCCUCCAACAUCUACGUCACCGGUCCACUGACACACCGGCAGAGAGGGCGGAGCUACAGACACGGAAGCAGCUGACACCAGUGCGGCCCGUCUGACUUCUGACCUGCAUUGGACUCUCCGGGCUGGACGACGGAACCAGAGUCCAGACGAUGUUGAGUCUGUGGAGCGGGGUGGAGGUAACAAAGAAACAGGGUCCAGAACAGCCAGUGUCCACAGGAACCCAUCACGAUGUCUCUCACUCCCUCUGUGGACUGGAUUUGUACAGGGGGGAGGAACGGAGGACCGGAGGUGAGGGUGGAGGGUGGGUGUUUACCAUAUCCAUAAAAAUGAAAAG